CACGUAGGAGCCAAUCGUUAUCCGAAUUCACUGGGCGUAAAGCGCGUGCAGGCGGUGCAAUAAGAUGGAUGUAAAAUCUCCUGGCUCAACUGGGAGGGGACGUUCAAUACUGUUGCACUAGCGGGCGAGAGAGGGAGGUGGAAUUCCCGGUGUAGUGGUGAAAUGCGUAGAUAUCGGGAGGAACACCAGUGGCGAAGGCGGCCUCCUGGCUCGCACCUGACGCUCAGACGCGAAAGCUAGGGGAGUGAACGGG
rnacentral:rRNA from 1 species